UACGGAGGGAGCUAGCGUUGUUCGGAAUUACUGGGCGUAAAGCGCACGUAGGCGGCUUUGUAAGUUAGAGGUGAAAGCCCGGGGCUCAACCCCGGAAUUGCCUUUAAGACUGCAUCGCUUGAAUCCAGGAGAGGUGAGUGGAAUUCCGAGUGUAGAGGUGAAAUUCGUAGAUAUUCGGAAGAACACCAGUGGCGAAGGCGACUCGCUGGACAGACAUUGACGCUGAGGUGCGAAAGCGUGGGGAGCAAACAGG
rnacentral:rRNA from 1 species